rnacentral:rRNA from 1 species
UACGUAGGGUGCAAGCGUUGUCCGGAAUUAUUGGGCGUAAAGAGCUCGUAGGCGGUCUGUCGCGUCGGCUGUGAAAACCCGGAGCUCAACUCCGGGCCUGCAGUCGAUACGGGCAGACUUGAGUACUGCAGGGGAGACUGGAAUUCCUGGUGUAGCGGUGGAAUGCGCAGAUAUCAGGAGGAACACCGGUGGCGAAGGCGGGUCUCUGGGCAGUAACUGACGCUGGAGGAGCGAAAGCGUGGGGAGCGAACAGGA